AUGUCGAUGGCGGGAGGCCCGUCGGGGACGACGGCGUCGCAGCAUGGGGGCGGCGGCGGGGGGUGCUGCAGCUCCAGCGGGACGCUGGAGCUCGUGGCGGCGUUCACGGCGGUGUGCCUCGCACUCUACGGGGUGAUACUGUACCUCAACUACCUAUACGUACGGUGGAGCGGGCGGGACGGCGUGCAUCGGACGGGAUCCAGCACGGCAGCCGGGCCGGCGAGGAAGAGGGCCGGCGGAGGGGGGCUCGACAAGGCGGCGCUGGCAGCCAUGCCGGUGGUCCGAUUCAAGGCGGAGGCGCGUGGCGACGGCAGCGAGGUAAGGGAGGAGUGCGCGGUGUGCCUGAGCGCCAUGCAGGACGGCGACGCGGUGCGCGCCUUGCCCGGGUGCAGGCACGCGUUCCAUGUCGGGUGCGUCGACGUCUGGCUGUGCGCGCAGGCCACCUGCCCCGUCUGCCGCGCGCGCCCUGCUCUCCCGGUUCCGGCAGCGAAGGACGGCUCCAAGAGGGCGGAGACCGCCGGACGGGAGCCGGACCUGGAGAGCCCGGUAUAG
rnacentral:rRNA from 1 species